rnacentral:rRNA from 1 species
GCUCGUAGUUGGAUUUGUGGUGUAUGCCGGCGGCCUGGUACUUAGUAUCGGAGCUUGCUUGCGUCCCCUCCUUGGGUGGAUCCUGUGUGGCAUUAAGUUGUCGUGCAGGGGAUGCCCAUCGUUUACUGUGAAAAAAUUAGAGUGUUCAAAGCAGGCUUAUGCCGUUGAAUAUAUAAGCAUGGAAUAAUAAGAUAGGACCUUGGUACUAUUUUGUUGGUUUGCGCACCAAGGUAAUGAUUAAUAGGGACAGUUGGGGGUAUUCGUAUUCCAUUGUCAAAGGUGAAAUUCUUGGAUUUUUGGAAGACGAACUACUGCGAAAGCAUUUACCAAGGAUGUUUUCAUUAAUCAAGAACGAAAGUUAGGGGAUCGAAGAUGAUUAGAUACCAUCGGACUCUUAACCAUAAACUAUGCCGACGAGGGAUUGGCGGGGUUUCGUUAUGUCUCCGCCAGCACCUUAUGAGAAAUCACAAGUCUAUGGGUUCCGGGGGGAGUAUGGUCGCAAG